ACUCUGCUCCACUUCUCAUGAAGCUUUUCACCUGCAGGACCUCCUAUGUCAUGGGACUCGAACCCUGGGUCCUUGUGCAUGCCUUUUAGCCUAGAUCUUCACACUCAAAAGGAAGCAGAGAAUUGCAACAGUUAUUAGGAUAUAAUUGAGACCAGAGAACUCUGCCUUUGUUGCCCGAGCAUUUCUGGAGAAAGUCCUCUAGGUUUGCAGUUUGCUGAAGUGUAGGAACAGCAGACAGACCUAUUGUCUAUUGUGUAGUUGGGGAACAUUUUAUUUCACCUACACCAUCCAACAGUGUUGCUGGUUCUCAGCUGUUGAGAUUCAGAAAAAACUCUACCACCUGCUCAAGGAUCUCUCUAAUUUAAAGAUCACAGAUUGUGGAGAUUUUCAGCUUUCAU